AGAGUUUGAUCCUGGCUCAGGACGAACGCUGGCGGCAUGCCUAACACAUGCAAGUCGAACGGAGAUUGAUGAAGCUUGCUUUGUUGAUCUUAGUGGCGAACGGGUGAGUAACGCGUAGGCAACCUGCCCUCUAGAUGGGGACAACAUCCCGAAAGGGGUGCUAAUACCGAAUGUGACGGUUUUCCCGCAUGAGAGAACCGUGAAAGAUGGCCUCUAUUUAUAAGCUAUCGCUAGAGGAUGGGCCUGCGUCUGAUUAGCUAGUUGGUGAGGUAACGGCUCACCAAGGCGAUGAUCAGUAGCCGGUCUGAGAGGAUGAACGGCCACAUUGGGACUGAGACACGGCCCAGACUCCUACGGGAGGCAGCAGUGGGGAAUCUUCCGCAAUGGGCGAAAGCCUGACGGAGCAAUGCCGCGUGAGUGAUGAAGGGAUUCGUCCCGUAAAGCUCUGUUGUAUAUGACGAAUGUGCAGAUUGUGAAUAAUGAUUUGUAAUGACGGUAGUAUACGAGGAAGCCACGGCUAACUACGUGCCAGCAGCCGCGGUAAUACGUAAGUGGCGAGCGUUGUCCGGAAUUAUUGGGCGUAAAGAGCAUGUAGGCGGUUUUUUAAGUCUGGAGUGAAAUGCCGGGGCUCAACCCCGGAACUGCGUUGGAAACUGCGGAACUGGAGUCGCUGAGGGGCAGCCAGAAUUCCAGGUGUAGGGGUGAAAUCUGUAGAUAUCUGGAAGAAUACCAAUGGCGAAGGCAGGCUGCCAGCAGAUGACUGACGCUGAGGUGCGAAAGUGCGGGGAGCAAACAGGAUUAGAUACCCUGGUAGUCCGCACAGUCAACUAUGUACACUGGGUGUCCGCUCAUGAGAGUGGGUGCCGAAGCAAACGCGAUAAGUGUACCGCCUGGGGAGUAUGCCCGCAAGGUGAAACUCAAGGAAUUGACGGGGGCCCGCACAAGCGGUGGAGCAUGU
rnacentral:rRNA from 1 species